GGAUGGUUAGCUCAGUUGGUUAGAGUGUGGUGCUUAUAACACCAAGGUCAAGGGUUCAAUUCCCCUAUAGCCCA